rnacentral:rRNA from 1 species
UGAGGAAUAUUGCGCAAUGGGGGUAACCCUGACGCAGCAACACCGCGUGAGUGAUGAAGCAGUUUAUCUGUGUAAAGCUCUGUUAAUCGGGACGAACGGGAUGGUUAGCAGCCAUUUUUGACGGUACCGGUAGAGGAAGCACCGGCUAACUCCGUGCCAGCAGCCGCGGUAAUACGGGGGGUGCAAGCGUUGUCCGGAUUUAUUGGGCGUAAAGGGCAUGUAGGUUGGGAUUUAAGUCAGUUGUGAAAUUUUACGGCUUAACCGUAAAUUGCAAUUGAAACUGGAUCUCUUGAGUAUGAGAGGGGAUGGUGGAAUAUCAAGUGUAGCGGUGGAAUGCGUAGAUAUUUGAUAGAACACCUGAGGCGUAGGCGACCAUCUGGCUCAUUACUGACACUGAAAUGCGAAAGCAUGGGGAGCGAACAGG